CAGCCGCCGCGGGAAUACAGAGGCCUCAAGCGUUGUUCGGAUUCAUUGGGCGUAAAGGGUGCGUAGGCGGUUCCGUAAGUCGGAUGUGAAAUCUUGGGGCUCAACCUCAAAACUGCAUUCGAUACUGCGGGGCUAGAGGACUGGAGAGGAGAGUGGAAUUCACGGUGUAGCAGUGAAAUGCGUAGAUAUCGUGAGGAAGACCAGCGGCGAAGGCGGCCCUCUGGACAGUUCCUGACGCUGAUGCACGAAGGCCAGGGGAGCAAACGGGAUUAGAUACCCGAGUAGUCCCUGUCUCUUAUAC
rnacentral:rRNA from 1 species